rnacentral:lncRNA from 1 species
GGAUGAACAGAAAUUUCUGGAAAGGGAGCUUUGCCAUCACUAUCAUCGGAAGACUACACUUUGCUCCAAUUCACAAUUGCUACAAAAGAGAAGAAAAUAUCUAGGAAUACAACUUCCAAGGGAUGUGAAACUACAAAUCACUGCUCAAGGAAAUGAGAGGACACAAACAAACGGAAAACAUUCCAUGAUCAUGGAUAGGAAGAAUCAAUAUGGUAAAAAUGGCCAUACUGCCCAAAGUAAUUUAUAGAUUCAAGUCUAUCCCCAUCAAGCUACCAUUGACUUUCUUCACGGAAUUGGAAAAAACUACUUUAAAUUUCACAUGGAACGAAAAAGCCCGCAUAGCCAAGAUAAUCUUAAGCAAAAAUAACAAAGCUGCAGGCAUCACGCUACCUGAUUUCAAACUAUACUACAAGCCUACAGUAACCAAAACAGCAUGGUACUGGUACCAAAAGAGAUAUAUAUACCAAAGGAACAGAACAGAGGUCUCAGAAGUAACACCACACAUCUGCAACCAUUUGACCUUUGACAAACCUGACAAAAACAAGUGAUGAGGAAAGGAGUUCCUAUUUAAUAAAUGGUGUUGGGAAAAGUGGCCAGCCAUAUGCAGAAAGCUGAAAUUAGAUCCCUUUCUUAUACCUUAUAUAAAAAUUAACUCAAGAUGGAUUAAAGACUUAAAUGUAAGACUUAAAACCAUAAAAACCCUAGAGGAAAACCUAAGCAAUACCAUUCAGGACCUAAGCAUGGGCAAAGACUUCAUGACUAAAACACCAAAAGCAAUGGCAACAGAAGCUAAAAUUGACAACUGGGAUAUAAUUAAACUAAAGAGCUUCUGCACAGCAAAAGAAACUAUCAUCAGAGUAAACAGGCAUCCUAAACAAUGGGAGAAAACUUUUACAAUCUAUCCAUCUGACAAAGGGCUAAUAUCCAGAAUCUACAAAGAACGUAAGCAAAUUUACAAGAAAAAAACAACCCCA